CCGCAUGUUGAGCGCGGAUGGCAUCAUCUGCGCUUGAAAGAUUUAUCGGUCUAAGGGGUCGCGGCCUAUUAGCUUGUUGGUGGGGUAAUGGCCUACCAAGGCGAUGGGUAGCUGGUCUGAGAGGAUGAUCAGCCACACUGGGACUGAGAGGCCCAGACUCCUACGGGAGGCAGCAGUGAGGAAUAUUGCGCAAUGGAAAGCCUGACGCAGCAACGCCGCGUGAAGGAUGAAGGUGCUGCAUUGUAAACUUCUGUAGGGAGGGAAGAAAACCCACUCCGUGGUGACGGUACCUCCAAAGUAAGCACCGGCUAAUUCCGUGCCAGCAGCCGGUAAUACGGAAGGUGCAAGCGUUGUCCGGAUUGACUGGGUGUAAAGGCAAGCGGAAAAAUGUGUCGGGAGUGAAAUCGUGC
rnacentral:rRNA from 1 species